rnacentral:rRNA from 1 species
GGGUUGUGAGGUUAAGCGACUAAGCGUACACGGUGGAUGCCCUGGCAGUCAGAGGCGAUGAAGGACGUGCUAAUCUGCGAUAAGCGUCGGUAAGGUGAUAUGAACCGUUAUAACCGGCGAUUUCCGAAUGGGGAAACCCAGUGUGUUUCGACACACUAUCAUUAACUGAAUCCAUAGGUUAAUGAGGCGAACCGGGGGAACUGAAACAUCUAAGUACCCCGAGGAAAAGAAAUCAACCGAGAUUCCCCCAGUAGCGGCGAGCGAACGGGGAGSAGCCCAGAGCCUGAAUCAGUGUGUGUGUUAGUGGAAGCGUCUGGAAAGGCGCGCGAUACAGGGUGACAGCCCCGUACACAAAAAUGCACAURCUGUGAGCUCGAUGAGUAGGGCGGGACACGUGGUAUCCUGUCUGAAUAUGGGGGGACCAUCCUCCAAGGCUAAAUACUCCUGACUGACCGAUAGUGAACCAGUACCGUGAGGGAAAGGCGAAAAGAACCCCGGCGAGGGGAGUGAAAAAGAACCUGAAACCGUGUACGUACAAGCAGUGGGAGCACGCUUAGGCGUGUGACUGCGUACCUUUUGUAUAAUGGGUCAGCGACUUAUAUUCUGUAGCAAGG